CGCAUCUGUGCAUGCAGCAUAUCAAUAAGCGGAGGAAAAGAAACUAACAAGGAUUCCCCUAGUAACGGCGAGUGAAGCGGGAAGAGCUCAAAUUUGAAAUCUUAAAGGGUUUCCCUUUACGAAUUGUAGUUUAAAGAAGUGUUUUCUGUUGAGGUUUUGGUAAAAGUUCUUUGGAAUAGGACAUCAUAGAGGGUGAGAAUCCCGUAUUUGACCUUUACUUUCAACUUUGUGAUACACUUUCAAAGAGUCGGAUUGUUUGGGAAUGCAGUCCAAAAUGGGUGGUAAAUUUCAUCUAAAGCUAAAUAUUGGCGAGAGACCGAUAGCGAACAAGUACCGUGAGGGAAAGAUGAAAAGAACUUUGAAAAGAGAGUUAAACAGUACGUGAAAUUGUCAAAAGGGAAGCGUUUGACACCAGUGUUGUUUUUCUGAAAAUCAAUUAAAGAACUGUUUAUGCUAAGCUGUUUAGACUUUAUCAGCUAUCUGUUUAGUUUUGAGCUUUUCUUUAAUGCACUUUUCAGUUAACAAGUCAACAUCAAUUUCUUUUGCUGUAAAAAAGCUUGAGGAAGGUGGCUUGAGAUUCGUCUUAAGUGUUUAUAGCCUCUUGCCUAUGCAUGUCGGAGAGAUUGAGGUCUGCAGCGUAGAUCCUUCGGGGCUAAAUGCAUUUGUGCUAAGUUAUAGCAUUUUAUAGACAACUUGUUGACUAUGAUUUGUCUUGUAGCUUACUCGCUUAUGUUAUUUUACCUACGCUUAGGAUGUUGAAUCUGUGCGAGACUAC
rnacentral:rRNA from 1 species